rnacentral:rRNA from 1 species
CCCAGACUCCUACGGGAGGCAGCAGUGGGGAAUAUUGCACAAUGGGGGAAACCCUGAUGCGGCGACGCCGCGUGAGCGAAGAAGUACCUCGGUAUGUAAAGCUCUAUCAGCAGGGAAGAAAGUGACAGUACCUGACUAAGAAGCCCCGGCUAACUACGUGCCAGCAGCCGCGGUAAUACGUAGGGGGCAAGCGUUAUCCGGAUUCACUGGGCGUAAAGGGGGCGCAGACGGCGAUGCAAGCCAGGAGUGAAAGCCCGGGGCCCAACCCCGGGACUGCUCUUGGAACUGCGUGGCUGGAGUGCAGGAGGGGCAGGCGGAAUUCCUGGUGUAGCGGUGAAAUGCGUAGAUAUCAGGAGGAACACCGGUGGCGAAGGCGGCCUGCUGGACUGCAACUGACGUUGAGGCCCGAAAGCGUGGGGAGCAAACAGGAUUAGAUACCCGAGUAAU